rnacentral:rRNA from 1 species
UACGUAGGGUGCAAGCGUUAAUCGGAAUUACUGGGCUUAAAGCGUGCGCAGGUGGUGGCUUAAGCGUGCGGUGAAAGCCCGGAGCUCAACUCCGGAACUGCCAUUGAAACUGUUUAGCUUGAGGACGAGAGAGGUGAGUGGAAUUCCCAGUGUAGAGGUGAAAUUCGUAGAUAUUGGGAAGAACACCGGUGGCGAAGGCGGCUCACUGGCUCGUAUCUGACGCUCAGGCGCGACAGCGUGGGGAUCAAACAGG